GGCGUGGUUUGGCAGUUCAUCGCCAGCAGCUUCAGAAGCUGGUGGGGUUGGAUCCCCUCGCGGGUUCAAUUCCCGUCCACGCCG
rnacentral:tRNA from 1 species